rnacentral:lncRNA from 12 species
UCCCAGCCCCGGUCCCAGCCCCGAUCCCAGCCCCAGAUCCUCAACCCCGAUCCCAGCCCCGAUCCCCAGCCCCGAUCCCAACCCCGGUCCCAGCCUCGAUCCCCAGCCUCGAUCCCCAGCCCCGGUCCCAGCCCCGAUCCCCAGCCCCGAUCCCAGCCCCGGUCCCAGCCUCGAUCCCCAGCCUCGAUCCCCAGCCCCGGUCCCAGCCCCGGUCCCAGCCCCGAUCCCAGCCCCGGAUCCCAGCCCGGAUCCCAGCCCCGAUCCCAGCCCCAGAUCCCAGCCCCGGUCCCAGCCUCGAUCCCCAGCCUCGAUCCCCAGCCCCGGUCCAGCCCCGAUCCCAGCCCCGAUCCAGGCCCCGAUCCCAGCCCCGGUCCCAGCCUCGAUCCCCGGUCCCGGGCCCGGUCCCCAGCCCCGGUCCCAGCCUCGAUCUCCAGCCCCGAUCCCCAGCCCCGAUCCCCAGCCCCGAUCCCCAGCCCCGAUCCCAGCCCCGAUCCAGGCCCCGAUCCCAGCCCCGGAUCCCAGCCCCGGUCCCAGCCUCGAUCCCCAGCUCCGAUCCCAGCCCCGGAUGCCAGCCCCGAUCCAGGCUCCGAUCCCAGCCCCCGAUCUUCAGCCCCGAUCCCAGCCCCCGGUCCCAGCCCCGGUCCCAGCCUCGAUCCCCAGCCCCGAUCCCAACCCCGAUCCCAGCCCCGGAUCCCAGCCCCGGAUCCCAGCCCCGGUCCCAGCCCCGAUCACCAGCCCCGAUCACCAGCCCUGAUCCCAGCCCGGAUCCCAGCCCCGAUCACCAGCCCUGAUCCCAGCCCGGAUCCCAGCCCGAUCCCAGCCCCGCCCCCGGGACGUGGAGCCCUAUGCGCCCCAACAGGAGGCCGGGGCAUCGCCUCCCCCUGCGGCAGCCCUGGCCCAGGAGCUCGCCCGUGUCACCCCGGGGACCCCGAGGUGGUGGGGGCAGAGGUGCGGCCUCGCCCUCCCCGGGCCCCCAGGAGCUCGCCCCGCCCCCACCCCGGGGCACCCCGGGGACCUCGCUCUGACCCGCACUGUCGGCCUCUAGCCUCGUUGGGUUCCCCCCUGCCCCCCAGGCUGAAUGAUCCUUGGGCCUGUUAG